rnacentral:sRNA from 1 species
GAAGUGCGACGUUUUGCAAUUGAACGUCGGCCUUUACUGCAACCAGGCCUGCUCCCACUGCCACGUCGAAUCCAGCCCUCUCCGUCAGGAGGCCAUGUCGGCCGAGACGGCGGCGCGGUGCCUCGAGCUGCUGUCCCGAUCCGACUCG